rnacentral:lncRNA from 1 species
UAAUUGAAUAUAGAAAUUUUAAUUUAUAAUAAGAGUUCGACUAUGGUGUUUAUAGAAGCACUAAAUACUUAGUGUACUUAUCAAUUUUUUUUCAUCAUUAAAUCUAUCAUUUUGAUCAAUUCUUUUUAGAUCAUGCUAUUCCACCAACGUUAUCCACUAAACUUUAGGGAUUAUCAUCCUAAUCCUGCAAAUUUUCAUCCAAAUACUGAAAAUCUAAAGUACUAAAAACUUAGUACUGUUAGAAGCAUUCUAGUCCAGUUCUUUUAAAUAAUAUAUCAAUUGCAUCUAGGAUGUCAAAUAGUAGCUUAAUUGUCAUAUGCAGGUUACAAAUUGGAAUUUUUUGUUUUUUAGAAGCGGGGCAUUAUAUAUGUAAAAUUGAUGGAUUUAUUUAUUAUAUUCUCUUGAUCAAGGCUUAGACCUUGUUUGGAUGCAUGAAUAUUUUAUUCAUUAUAUUAUCUUGAUUUAUUUAAAAAAUUUAUAUAUUUGGUAGAGAAGAAAUGUGAUCAAAUAUUUACAAUAGAGUAUUAUAUUUAGCUUUCAAGAUACUUUUUCAUAAUAAAAUAAAUCAUUUUUAGAUAAAAUAUACUCUUCUGUAAAAUUAAUCAUAGAUAGUAAAAUUUUUUAGAAAAUAAAAAAUCAAACUCUGUAAUUAUAAUCAUACUAGAAAACUUUCAUAUUAAAUAAAUUAUUUUUGGAUAACUUAUUUCGAUAUUCAAACAAGAUUUAAAGGUAAUUGUUUUAAGAAGGUUUUUUUUUUUUCUCGCGCUUUGUUCAUUUAUUUUUAUAAAUAAACUCAGAUAAAUAUGUGAAAUAAUUAGACUAUGACUUUGAUUCUCAAAUAUAGUCUAUUAAGAUUUUAGCCAACUGUGUAAGUUACAGUCGAUUUGUGUCAAAGUUGUCAAUGCCUGUUGUGUCUAGUACAACACCAAUGAUAGAGGCUAUGUGAAAGAUAUGUAGACGUAGAAGUUAUAAGUACACACACUACAACAAAAACGGUCUAUAGCAACACUUUUAAAUAUAGGUACAUAUCAAAAAAGUGCUGCUAGCUAAAGUUACCGACACUUUUAAAAAGUGCUGCUAUAUAUGGGGUCGCUAGGUAUAUAGUGACAGUUAAAGAGUGUCGCUAUAACUUAAAAGAGUGCUGCUAAUCUACGAAUACUUAUUUAAGCAUUUAGCAACCGCCGAAACUUUAUCUCGUUGGCUGCGGUGGCGGAGGAGGACGAUAGGAAAGGCUCUUCGUCUAGAAUUUCAAUGGAUUGAGUGAAGAGAGAAGAAAAGAUGGCAAUUAAUUUUUUUUUUUUCUUUUCUGUUUGUAAUCGGGCCAAAUGGACUCGGUGUGGUGGGUUGAGUAGAGUAAUCUUUUAUUUUUGGUUGGAUUGGGCUUUAUAUUUAGGCAUUAGCAGAUAUUUUUUUAAAUUUUAGCAUAAAUGGGACACUUACUCAAAAGUGUUCCAAACAUGUGUCUCUAUAAUCUAAUUCUGUUGUAGUGACAGCUGGUUACAUGAGUUGACAAAGGUAGUAUUCAUUUAC